UACGUAGGGUGCAAGCGUUGUCCGGAAUUAUUGGGCGUAAAGAGCUCGUAGGUGGCCUGUCGCGUCGGCUGUGAAAACUCGGGGCUCAACUCCGAGCUUGCAGUCGAUACGGGCAGGCUAGAGUUCGGCAGGGGAGACUGGAAUUCCUGGUGUAGCGGUGAAAAUGCGCAGAUAUCAGGAGGAACACCGGUGGCGAAGGCGGGUCUCUGGGCCGAUACUGACGUGAGGAGCGAAAGCGUGGGGGAGCGAACAGG
rnacentral:rRNA from 1 species